AACGAACGCUGGCGGCGCGCCUAAUACAUGCAAGUCGAGCGAGAAGACGUAGCAAUACGUUUGUAAAGCGGCGAACGGGUGAGGAAUACAUGGGUAACCUACCCUCGAGUGGGGAAUAACUAGCCGAAAGGUUAGCUAAUACCGCGUACGCUCCUUGGACUUCGGUUCAGGGAGGAAAGCGAUACCGUGGGUAUCGCGCUCUUGGAUGGGCUCAUGUCCUAUCAGCUUGUUGGUGAGGUAACGGCUCACCAAGGCUUCGACGGGUAGCUGGUCUGAGAGGACGAUCAGCCACACUGGCACUGCGACACGGGCCAGACUCCUACGGGAGGCAGCAGUAAGGAAUAUUGCGCAAUGGGCGAAAGCCUGACGCAGCGACGCCGCGUGGGGGAUGAAGGUCUUCGGAUUGUAAACCCCUUUCGGGAGGGAAGAUGGAACGAGCAAUCGUUCGGACGGUACCUCCAGAAGCAGCCACGGC
rnacentral:rRNA from 1 species